rnacentral:rRNA from 1 species
UACGGGGGGGGCAAGCGUUGUUCGGAAUUACUGGGCGUAAAGGGCUCGUAGGCGGCCAACUAAGUCGGACGUGAAAUCCCCAGGCUCAACCUGGGAACUGCGUCCGAUACUGGAUGGCUUGAAUCCGGGAGAGGGAUGCAGAAUUCCAGGUGUAGCGGUGAAAUACGUAGAUAUCUGGAGGAAUACCGGUGGCGAAGGCGGCAUCCUGGACCGGCAUUGACGCUGAGGAGCGAAAGCGUGGGGAUCAAACAGG